AGCCCUUGACAUCCCGGUCGCGGAGACCAGAGACGGUUUCCUUCAGUUCGGCUGGACCGGAGACAGGUGCUGCAUGGCUGUCGUCAGCUCGUGUCGUGAGAUGUUGGGUUAAGUCCGCAACGAGCGCAACCCUCGCCCUUAGUUGCCAUCAUUCAGUUGGGCACUCUAAGGGGACUGCCGGUGAUAAGCCGGAGGAAGGUGGGGAUGACGUCAAGUCCUCAUGGCCCUUACGGGCUGGGCUACACACGUGCUACAAUGGCGGUGACAGAGGGAUGCAAAGGGGCAACCCUUCGCAAAUCUCAAAAAGCCGUCUCAGUUCGGAUUGGGGUCUGCAACUCGACCCCAUGAAGUUGGAAUCGCUAGUAAUCGCAGAUCAGCACGCUGCGGUGAAUACGUUCCCGGGCCUUGUACACACCGCCCGUCACACCAUGGGAGUUGGCUUUACCUGAAGACGGUGCGCUAACCGCAAGGAGGCAGCCGGCCACGGUAGGGUCAGCGACUGGGGUGAAGUCGUAACAAGGUAAGCGUACUACA
rnacentral:rRNA from 1 species